AACUGAAAAAGGCAAACUUACUGAAAGGUAAGGACGCAAAGCCACGAGUCUAAGGUAUAGUGUGAAAAAUAAAAAGCAUUUUUUACUUUCUAUUUGGGCAGUAUCGCAAGUAAACUUGCGAUAUGCAUAGGGAUAGUGUGAAAAAUGCGAUGUAUUUUUCGCUUUCUAUUCAGGCAGUUUCGCAAGUAAACUUGCGAAAUGCAUGGGGUAUACUAUGGCAGUCGGGCCGCUGUA
rnacentral:ncRNA from 1 species